UACUUCCUCCACGAACACUGUUUUCGUUCUGAACGGUCUCUCAAGCACCCGUCUCACCCACUUCAUAUUCUGACUUUGAUGCCUUCUCCUACUUAUCCCUCCCGUUCUUUUCACUGCAAUUCGUGCAGUCUUGGUGGAAAUGGAUUCUCCUAUAGUUGUUCCGAAUGUGAAUUCGAUAUUCAUGUUCACUGUGCCCUUAAUAUUACUAUUCCUAAUCCUAAUCCAAAUUUAUUACCUUCCGUCGUUCCUAAUCCUUAUCCUGCGCGGAAUAAUAAUCAUCCUCGUCCAAUCCAAUCUAAUGCUUAUCCAACUUAUCCUCCUCAAAACAAUGGUUAUUCCCCGAAUCCAAACCACCCUUAUCCCAAUUUCACCACUCCUAAUCACAUUACACCACCAUUUCCAAUUCCACAAAAUCCACCCUAUCAGAAAAGUAGCGGCGAUGGUGCAAAAAGUGACGUGGGACGGAUCACGAAAGCUGCUGAUGAGGUCGACGCCGCUACUGUUAAGGCUUUGUUCGAGGCAAGAGGCAGAUUAGGGGCAAUGGCACUUAUUUGAUCUUCUUUAUUUAUGAUUAUUUAUUUUUCUUUCGAUGUGAAAUUUCAUGUUGUUUUAUUUCUUUCAGUAUCGUUUUAAGGGUUUUUUUUUUCUUUCAGUUCCGUUGUGCGGUUACAAGAAAUAAAACGUGAUGACGAUAUGUUGUUUCAUUUGAUUUCUUAUUUCUUGAAUGUAUGUAAUGAAAAAUUUAAAUGAUUAUCGUAAUAUGUUGUCUGAUGAUUUUAUCAGGAUUUUCGAGUUUCGUCUAAAUUUAUUUUACAACAAAGUAUUGAUGACUAAAAAUUUAAAACUUCAACAUUUAAUGCUUUUAUGCUUAACAUUUGGUCUAUAGUUAAUUAACUUACUUUCAGUACUGGAACUUUGGUACGGUUUGCCAUGUUAUCGAAAUUAAAAAUAUACGAGAGUGUAGGUUUACCCAAUACCACUUAUAUGAUUGGAUGCACGUUCCUUCAUUAAUAAUUAAAAAUAUAAAAUAAAGAGCCAUGCCCCUCAAGGGAUGACAUAUAAUUGGAGGCUGAUUUUUUUGUAUUAGUUAGGGGUGAAAAUCGCACGGGUGUAUCAACAAUGAUUUAUUCGGAAAUUUUUCAUUUUUUUCGGAAGUUAGAAAUGCGUUCCAAUUUCCGUUCCAAAGAAAUCGGAAUUCUAAAAUACAUUCCGAUUCCUGAAUGCUUAGGAAUCGCCGGGAUUUCGAAACUUGCAUUGAUUCAAAAUUAUAGAAAGUUGGGCUCCUAAGGUCAUAUCGAAAAUCCUAGUCGCAGCCGCCGCCAAACCCUAAUCGCGGUCGCCGCAACCAUAUUCACCUACUAUCUUUGGAAAAAUCUAGAUCUGUCAUUUUGAACCCAAACCAAGCAAAAUUUCUUUAAUAAAAAUAAGAAAAUCAGACUCAAUGAGUUCAUAACCACAGCCCCUGCGCUGCACAACCCCCGUCGUCGCCACCUGCACCAUGACUCCACCGGUCGCCGACGUCUCCACCACGACUCCACCCGUCGCCGACGUCAACACCACGACUCCACCCACCGCUCCCGCUCAUGCUCUGAGAGAGAGAGAGAGAGAGAGAGAGAGAGAGAGAGAGAGAGAGAGAGAGAGAGAGAGAGAGAGAGAGAGAGGGAGAGCGUGCGAGAGAAAAUAGAAAUAAAGAGAAAUAAAUCUGAAAUUGAAGAAACGUGAAUGUAUAAGUUAGAUAAUUUAGGGUAUAAGAGCAAGAUAUGAAUAAAAAAAAUUUAGAAUGGGACUCAUAUAUUAAUUCAAACUAAUGAUUUAAUUAAAAAUUGGAUUUAGACUUGUCAUUUAGUUCAAAUUAGGUUUAAUUUCUUUGAGGGGCUCCUAGAAUAUUACCCUUAAAAAAAUACUUUAUGUUUUAAAGACGAAAUUAAUAUAUAAAAUUCUUUGAUAAAAAAAUACAUUAAAAGAAGUGAAAUAAAAUUAAAUAAGGAAAAGAAAACCUGAAUAUAAAAAUAAAAUAGAAAUUAAAAAUAUAUAUCUAAAAAAAGACACUAAAUUAGGAUAAUUUAUGUAUUUUGCAAUCCAAGGAUUAUCUCAACUAUAGGAUUUGAAAUUAGGUUUAUCUCUCUACGGAAUUUCAAUCAGAGAGUUUUGUCAAAUAAUCCCUUCUUUCAUCCCACGAGACGCCACCCAUACUGUUGGCAUCUCUCUCUCCCAUACUGUUGGCGUACGUCUCUCUCUUAUUACUUCUUUUAUUUAUUUAAUUUUGUUUAAACAAUAUUAAUAUAACCUAAUCCCAGUCUGAAAGAGGCUUCGACACCAUUUUACUAACCUUAUCAUUUAUCACGUCCUUAAUCCAUGUCAGCAAAUUGAUGGAGUCUUCAUCGUUGACCAUUGUUCACAUAACGUGCAAGUAGACUUCCGAUUACCCGUUCCAAUGCCAAUUUAUAUAUAUAAAUACAUUGAUCUCAUAUUUGUUAGGAAACAAAUUAAAUACCAUAAAAAAUAUUCAAAUGAACUAGUUUUUUUUUUUAACAAAAGAUUAAAAAUAGAAAAAAGAAAAAUGAUCAGGUGUUGUUUUAUAAUUUCUUUCUUUAAGAAAUAAACUUCCAGCAGGCGGCAUAGGUAUCAUAAAUAAUUAGGGAUGGCAACGAUAAAUAUUACCCACGAGAAAUAAGUAAAAUUCAAAAUGCAAGACAAUUAGCGGUGGUCGACAAAUGAUAAAUAUUACCCACGAGAAAUGAGAUUCAAAAAAUAAAAUAGUGAAAAUAUGUAAAUGAGAAUAGACAAGAUGGAAACUGAUAGUUUGAUAAAUGAAAUUCGAAAUUAUAUAUAUAUAUAUAUAUAUAUAUAUAUAUAUAUAUAUAUAUAUAUAUAUAUAUAUAUAUAUAUAUAUAUAUAUAUAUAUAUAUAUAUAUAUACGUGUGUGUGUGUAUAAUGUGCAGACUCACAUAUAUGUAUAUCGCGCUCUAUAUAUGUGUCUGGGGGCGCAUAUGACUCUCUCUCUCCCUCUCUAUAUAUAUAUAUAUAUAUAUAUAUAUAUAUAUAUAUAUAUAUAUAUAUAUAUAUAUAUAUAUAUAUAUAUAUAUAUAUAUAUAUAUAUAUAUAUAUAUAUAUAUAUAUACUCUCUUUCUCCGCGUGCGAUGCGGGGUAUAUGUUUUAUAUAGCGAAAAAAAAUUCUCUUUUUUAUAAAAUAUAAGAAUAUAUAGCACACUAAUAUAAUAAAUUUUUAGAGUGUAGUUUUACUCAUAUUAUAUAUAACUUUUUUUUUUUUCUCUCACACAUAUAGAGAUAUACACCCCAAAUAUAUAGACAGAGAUUUCACAACUCGUAUCUCUCUCUCUCUCUCUAAAAAUGAGAGAUAUAUAGAAAAAAUAAGAGAGAUUAAUUUUUUUUAUAGUUAAAAAAUUGAGAGAGAAAAAAAUUUAUAUAUAUUUUUUUACAUAUGUACCAAAGGGGUAAAAUUCCUCGCGGGAUAUUUUUUUUUAUGAUAAGUGGAGAAAUUUAUAGAUAGAAAUUACGCGCAAAAAUAUAUUACAAUAUAUAUAUAUACAGAUAUAUCUAUAGAUUUUCCUCAUUUACCCCUUUUUCACCCAUAUUUCUUUUUUGACCCCCAUAUUCACCCUAUUUCUUAUCCUCUCCCCCGCGUGCGCUCUCUCUCCCAAAAUAACACACAGUGCCCCCGGAUAUAUACAUAUAUAUCACCCCCCCCCCCCAUUUUUGUUUCACAAAAAAUAUUUUUUUUUUCAGNNNNNNNNNNNNNNNNNNNNNNNNNNNNNNNNNNNNNNNNNNNNNNNNNNNNNNNNNNNNNNNNNNNNNNNNNNNNNNNNNNNNNNNNNNNNNNNNNNNNNNNNNNNNNNNNNNNNNNNNNNNNNNNNNNNNNNNNNCUUCUUCUUCAUCUCCUCCCUCAUCUUCGUCCUCCUCCUGGAGCUUCUUCUUCUUCUUCUUCUUCUUCUUCUUCUUCUUCUUCUUCUUCUACUCCAUGGCCUAAAACCUAGCCGCCACCUCUCUUCUUCUCCAUGGCCGGCGACCACCAAACCAAUUUUCUCCCUCCCCGGUGGUGGUAACGUAUAUUAUUUUCCGACAUCUUCUUCUUAUUUUUCUUCUUCUUCUUAGUCGGUUAAUCUCUUUUCUCUCUCUUGAUCUCUAUCCUUGUUUAAUUAUUCUUCUCUCUCUCAUAUCUUCUCUCUUUCUCUCGAUUCAAAAAAAAAAUAAUAAUAAUAAAAAACAAAAUUAUUUCCAUGUUACUUUCUUCUUUCUAUUAAUUUGGCAGAUAUUUUCACCAAGGAUUUCACUACUGCUGAAUUUCGUGGGUUUCUGUACAGUCUUCACAUUGAAGUUUCUUCGUUCCGACUACAGGAGCAUGCUAGCAAGUGUUGUCCAGUCUUCACGUUCGUCACGUUUCGACUGCGGGGGCGUGUUAGAGAAUAUUAUAUUAUAGAACUCUCCUAAUAUUAUGAUUCUAGUAUGAUUGAGUUACGUAGAUCAGUUAUGAUUUAGUUACCUAGUCAAACUCUAUUACCUUGCAAUAUUUCUCUAUAUAUAUUCCAUGUAAUCAACCCAUAACAUAAUGGGGGUUUCUAUUAUAUUACGUUAUUUCUCUCUUUCUCCAAUUGUAUUCUUCCUAUACCGCCUAAUCCGUACCCAUUGCCAUCCCUAUAAAUAAUGCUUUGAAGUUUUAUAAAUGUUAUAUAAAAUAUUAAGGAUUUCAGAAAUGUUAGGAAAAUUAUGUCACCCUCUAGCUCUAUAUUGUCUUUAUCACUACGUGAAACUAAUAGAUCGUUAGAACCCUAACAAAAUAACUUAUCUAAUACAUUAUUCCAUUAGAGUCUCUAAGAAUGUUUCGGGGAUAAUUAUAAUUAGCAGUACUACAAGGACCUUAAAGUUAUUUUAUCAUGCAUUAAUUUACCCUAGAUUUAACUACAUAUUCUUUCAUUAUAUUAUUAAAAUAAAAAAAAAAAUUGUCAAUACAGAUAAUUGAUGGAGUCUUGAAAGUCGACUUUUGAUCAAAUCGUAAGUUGACUUCCAAUAACCAAUUCCAAUGUCAAUAUGAACUAUAGCGACAUAUAGAAUUAGCCUUAAAGAAGGAAAAAACUAUAAAAACUAUGGGUAAAUUACAACCGCAUCCCUGAGGUAUGCUUAAAUUAUUUUAAGAUCACAGUGGUAUUGAUAAUUACAUUCACCCUUGAAACGUAGUUAUAAUCUCUAAUGAGAUAAUGCAUUGGAUAUGUUAUUACAAUAGAGUUCUAACGGUCUAUUGGUUUCAGGAAGUAGUGGAGACAACAAAUAGUUAUGGGUGAUUUAAGACAUACUGGGGGAGCCAUGUCACCCCAUAACUCCCCAUAACUCUAUGUUAUCUCCAUCACUAGCUAAAAGUAAUAGUCCAUUAAACUCUAUCGGAAUAAUGUAUCCAAUGCAUUAUUCCGUUAGAGUUUCUCACUACAAGAAAUAAUGCCUUUAGGGACGACUUUUUAUGGUCGCUAAAAGCAAAAAAAUGGUCGCUAAAACGUAUAGCGAGCAAAUUAAGCUUGGUCGCUCGUGGUCACAACAGGGUGGCUACUAAAAGUAUUAGCGACCAGUUAAUCGGUUGGACGCAAAAGUAACUUCUUUUGCGACCAUACAAUCAUGGUCAUUAAAGAUGAAUUUAUUUGGGACCAAUUAAUUAAUCGCUAAUCUAAAAAAAUAUGGUCUCUAUAAUAUUGAUAUGGUUGCUAUACAUAUACAUUUAGUCACCAAUCGUCUUGGUUGCAGUAUAAUAUUUCUGUAGCGACCAAAACAUUGAUGGCAACAUAAUCCUAACAUGGUUGCUAUAAUGAUAUAUUUAGUGACCAAUCUAUUUGGUGGAUAAAUAAUAUUUAUUUAGCAACCAAGAAAUUGGUGCCAAUAUAAUAUUAGCAUGAUCGCUGUAAUUGUACAUUUAGUGACCAAUCAAUUUGGUUGGUAUAUAAUAAUUAAUUAGUAACCACGAAUUUGGUGGCAGUAUAAUAUUAGCGUGGUUGCUGUAAUUUUAUAUUUAGUGACCAAUCUAUUUGGUGGAUAAAUGAUAUUAUUUAGCAACCAAGAACUUAGUGCCAAUAUAAUAUUAGCAUGGUCGUUGUAAUUUUACUUUUAGUGACCAAUAUAAUUGGUGGAUAAAUAGUAUUUAUUUAUCUACCACGAAAUUGGUGGCAAUAUAUUUUUAGCAUGGUCUCAAUAAAUUUACGUUUAGUGACCUAUUCUUUUGGUAGGUAUAUAACAUUUAUUUAGCAAUCCAUAAGUUGGUAGCAAUAUACUACUAACACGGUUGCUAUAAUUAUACUUUAGUGGCCACAUCCUUUUGGUUACUACAUAAUAUUUAUUUAUGAACCAUGUAAUUAGUUGAAAUAAUGUAGACAUGGUUGCUAAUCUAUAUAUAUCAAAUACCAAAAUAUGGUUGCAAAACAAUUUGAGCUGGUUGAUAAUAAAUAUACAAUAAAAAACGAACGCUAAUUGUGAACAUCCACAUCUUUCUUCAUGGAGUUUGAUAAACACAAAGAACUAAAAUGAUCGAAGCUCCAAAAAUUACUAAGGCACAUGAUUUAAAUAUAAAAAAAAUAGACAUUGUCGAUUCGAUAACAAAUAAUGAUGGAUCGGUUCUAUCCACUCCCGUUGGUCGUAAUUUUGCGAAAAAAUUAAGUGUAAAUCUCGAAGAAGUUCGUGGGACCUGUUGGUCGAAAACCUACACGCAAGUGCACGUAUCGUACAAGUAAUAUAGUGGACUAAAAGUCCGGAUAUCGAACCCACAGGGAAUAUUUAAUUACUUAAUCCUAGACGCUAAAUUCUACCAAUUAUUAUCAAGCCCACCCUACACAGUCGAGUUUUGAGAGAAUAAACUAAAUUAAACUAAAUUAAAAACAAGCAAAAACAAGAAAGCAAUUAAAAACGAAGAUUUAAUCAAAGUAGACAAGCCUAGGAUUUUAUUCUUCCCCCUAUGUGAUUAUUACUCCCCCAAUUCCCUCAAUUAUGCAAGCAAUUAACCCGGAUUAUUAACCUGAGAUGCUAAAAUAAUCAUAACCCGCUUCCGCGUGUAUUACGAUUCUAAUACUCUAGAUUCAAUUACUAUAUUCCUAUGCAAUUAAUUCUAGAACACAGCAUUAAGCACAAAUCUCAAUAAUGGCUACCUAAGAGAUUAACUAUAUUCCUAUGUUAAUACCACAAAGGCUCUUCUACCACAGUUCUAAUUAUUAACCCGAUCUUCCGAUUCAUGCGAUUAACAAUAACAUAAAAGCACAUAAGUUGAUCAAGUUCAUGCACUUAAUAAAACAAGUAGAAGAAAUAAUCCGGAAUUAAAACUUGCAUAAAAUCAUAGAAUUGGGUUCAUAAAUCCCACAUAGGGUUCCAAAUAAAAUCCUAGAAAUAAGUAGUUUAGCUACUCAUAAUUAAAUCAAAAACGCAAAUAAAAUAAAUCAUAGACGAUAAAUCUUUGCUUGGAGUCUUCGAAUUCUUCGUUAUUGCUUUGUUGCUCUUGAAAUUGCGUAAAAAGAUGGAUCCCUAAUUGUGUGCUUGGCUUGGUCUUAUAUAGGGUGAAAAACUUGGGGAAGAAGGCAGUUUCCUUGUACAAUUAAGAUUCCCUCACUGCGCCAACUCGCCCAUCCGGACGGCCGUGUGAGAUUUAUGGCUAAAAUCCGCACGGCCGCGCGGUCUAUUCUCCAGAAUUCUGCUUUUUUCACUUUUGGCCCAUAUUUUCUCCAAAAUUGCAGUUUUGACCCCAUACUUUUCCAAUUCUUCAAUUUGUACCUAAAAUACAAUAAAUCAACUUUUUAAGCACCAAUUAUCGUUAAAACACACCAAAAGCUCAAAUAAAAAGAUACGAUAAAGUGUAAAAAUAUACACUUAACACACCCCCAAACUUGAACUUUUGCUUGUCCUCAAGCAAAAAUCUACCAAUAAGCAAAUAACUUCAACGAUAACAUCUCAUCACAUAGAUCAAUGAUCAACUUCACGUUUUCAGAACUUGUAAUUAUAAUGACAAUUCCUUAGACAUUCGCAAGCUCAAAAUUCAACAACACUUAGUCACUCACCAUUACAAAAAACCACAAAUCAUACAAUUGCUUCAAGUAUCCCAUAUGUGCAAGUUAAAAAUAGAGAAAAUUUAUACUUACAUGCAUAUGCUUGACUCCAAAUACUCACCAAAUUAUUCUACUCUACUAAUAUCGAACAUUAAGCUAUUGGGAUCAUUGGGGCUUUGUGGCUUUCAAUUGUUAGGCUCUUUGGUUCGAGGUAGGAAAAAUGGGUAUGUGUGGCUAUUCUUCUUGAAUUGAGGUGAUUACGCCAAAAAUUGAAAGAUAGGCGUUUGAAACAAUGAAUUCACCUCUACGGACUUUAAUAAACUCGAUUCUCAAAAGUUCAAAAGUCUCCACUUUUGCUUUUGAGGCAAUGGAUUGAGUUUUCAAGAAUAAUUCAACAACUAGUCCUUAUUUCUCCCUUCUAGUCUCUUCUUCUUCUCUUUUUCUUUUCCUUUCGUUUUUUUUUUUUUUUUUUUUUUUUUUUUUUUUUUUUUUUUUUCCAAAAAAAGAGAAGCCAAGAAAUUGGCCCCCCUUUAAAACCCCUUUUUUUUUUUUUUUUUUUUUUUUUUUUUUUUUUUUUUUUUUCGAAGAAGAAGAAGGACGUUAAACAAUUUUUCGACCGAACUCCAAGGGGUAAUUUUUCAAGAAUCUCCACCUAUUCUACCUUACACAUUGGCUAAAAGAAAGAACACCUUUUCUCCGAGGCUCAAAUCCAGGUUCUAAGGAAUUUCGAUAAAAAGGUCGGCUUGAAAGGCUCAAACGGUUCAAAGAAGGCCCAAAUCAUAUCCCAAAUCACUUACUACUCAAUACUUCGUAUCAUAAAUUUCCUAAGGUGAGUCUUAAAACCGAACAUAGCAUGAUCUAGCACAAAUUAAUUCCAAAUUUAAAAUACAAAACAUUCAACCAAAGCAAUGCACAAAAUGUGAUUCCUAGCAAUAAUUCGCUUCUAAGUCCCGUUGAAUCGAAAGCUAAACAAACAUUAAAUCCUUAUCACAUAAAACAAGCAAUUUCAUCAUCUCAUCAUCAUAAAUCAUCGAUGCAUUCGACUCAAGCAAAUAUAUAUUUUUUUUUUUUUAUUCCGAAAAAAACGAGAAAAACAAUAAAAACGAAUAAAACCUAAUGCAUGCAAACUAAAACAAAUAAGCGCAAAAUAACAUGUUUUUCACCCCCAAACUUAAAAUUUUCGUUGCCCUCAACGAAAUUAGCACAAAGUUUAAGGAUAGAACACACCUGAUUUAGUCGGGGUCGAUGUGAUCGGGGUGCUCCUCCCUCCUUCUCUCACGCUCAUCCUCAUCGGACGGCUCGGGUACGGGCUAAAGAACGGGUGCCGGCGGAUGCCGGCUCGAUGCACACGGGCGUGCCUUGAAAGAUGAGAUUUUGAGGAAGUUGAUUCGACGCUCUAGCCUCCCUGUCAAUACCAACACAAAAUAAGAAUCGGAGAGUGUGUGAGUGAAUUAUGUGUGUGGAAUCGAAGAAUUUUUGGAAGAGAAAUUCAAAAAAUUCGAAAAUUUGUGUGUGGGAGAUAGAAAGAAGGAAAGAGGAGGGUUUAAGAAAUAAUGGGGGAGAAAAACGAAUUUUCAAAAAUUUAAAACGCCCAGUAGAGCCUCGGACGGCCGUCCCGCGUUUUGCCCUCUUUCUCGGACGGCCGUCCGAGCGUUCUGCUUCACUGCUGCCCAUGGGACGGCCGUCCCGUGUUUUGGCCUAGUUCUGGGACGGCCGCACCGUUUCUCGAAUUUGGGCAGAUGCUGCUCCAAAAUUCGGACGGCCGUGCGAGAUUCCAAGUCUUUUUCGCACGGCCGUGCCAUUUCACGAUUUUAUACAGUAGCUUCCCGAAAUCUCACACGGCCGUGUGAGUUUUACGCCCUUUUCUUGCACGGCCGUGUGAAUAAUUGCAAUUGGGCCCCUGAAAAUUACAAACUUCUGAUUAGUGCCCCUGAAACUUCUUAUUUAUCACUUUUUCGACCCUGAAAAAUAAAAUUCAAAUAAUAAAUUAGAAUGCAUGCUUAUGAUAUUAAAAACGAAACGAAAAAUUAAAUAAAAAUACGAAAAACAAUAAAGCUCGGGUUGCCUCCCGAGAAGCGCUAAGUUUAAAGUCUUCAGCCGGACGUUGCUUCUUUAAUUUCAUGAAAAAGUGACCGAAGUCACUUGGCAAUCUUCACUCGCUUCCCAAUACGGUUUGAGCCGGCUCCGUUUUACGUUGAACGUACGAUUUGAAUCUCGCUCCUUUAUUUUGACCACCUCGUGAGGAAGAAUUUCUUGGACAAUACACGGCCGCGACCACUUUGAUUUGUACUUCCUUGGAAAUAACCAAAGACGGGAUUUGCACAAUAACACCAAUUGUCCUUUGUGCAAUUCCUUUUUGAUUUUCUCCUUACGACCACAAUAGCUUGACUCCUCCUUCUCUCGUGACAUGCUCGAAUCUUUGGGUGGCAACAUCUUCCUCGCAUUCUCAUCGUCGUUAAGACCUCGACUCGUAUGACUUUCUCUUGGAGGAUUUAAAAUUGAGUCCAUGAAGUAAACUUGCUCCGUCCGAUUCCCGUUUAUGCCAUCAUCUCCUGCACUCAAAGUUACUUUCCCAUUGUCCAAGUUCAAAACAUCAAAAUUUUCAUGAGUUGUAAAGUCCAUAAGCUCAAUAGCAAAACAAUCAUUAUUAUCACAUGGAUUUUUAUUAGCACUAAAAACAUUGAAUUUGAUUGUUUGAUCAUGCACAGUCAUUGUAAGAUCACCACUAGCACAAUCAAUUAGCGUUUUCGACGUGGCUAAAAACGGUCUCCCUACGAUAAGAGGUAUCUCCCUAUCCUCAUCUAUAUCUAAUAUCACGAAAUCAACAGGGAAGAUAAAUUUAUUGACUUUCACUAGCACAUUCUCUAAAAUACCUUUUGGGUAAACUAAAGAUCUAUCGGCUAAUUGAAGAGUUAUAGCCGUCGGUUCAAUUUCUCCUAACCCAAGAUUUUUAAAGGUAGAAUAGGGCAUAAGAUUAAUGCUAGCGCCUAAAUCAAUGAGCGAUCUAAAAUUUUUACCUCCAAUAGUACAGGGAAUAGUAAACUUACCUGGAUCGCCGAGUUUUUGUGGAAGAGGCCGAGUAAGAAUUGCACUAAUUUGCUCCGUGAGUUGGAUCAUCUCGUUCCCUUGCAAUUUCUUACUUUUCUUUACGAGGUCCUUUAGGAACUUCACCCACUUUGGCAUCUUUUGAAGUGCUUCAAUGAAGGGAAUAUUUACGCGAAUUUCCUUCAACUUGUCCAAAAAUCUUUGAUAUUCGGCAUCAAGCUUCUUCUUUAUAAACUUUUGAGGAUAAGGAAUUGGAGGGACUUGUGAAGGCACCGUCGAUGGUGGCUCGUCAUGAGAUGAUUCUUUUUCCUCAUUCUUUUUCGGCUUCUCGAUUACCGUGCUUCUCUUCUCUUUUCGUGGGGCUUCCUCCAAUUGCUUACCGUUCUUCAAGGUGACUGCUUGGCAUGUCUCGACCUCGAUCUUUUUCGUUAGCAAUCUUUGUGGAUAUGGGAUCGGCUCGACCCAUUCGGCUACAGUGACUUGCGGCUUGAUUUGAAUUUCUUCCCUUUUUUCGCUCUUGACAUCGAUAGCUUGGCACGUCUCGAACUUUUGAUUUCGAGGAUCUUCCGUAUUCGAUGGCAAUGCUCCCGGCGGGCGGUUCUCUUGCUUCAAAGCUAAUUGAGCGAGUUGAUUCUCCAAAUUUCGCAACGAGGCUUGGGUAGCGGUCAUGAAUUGGGCCAAUAUCUCAUCCGUGUUUGAUUUUUGGGCCGGUGGAUUGUUGCCUUGAUAGCUUUGUUGAGGAGGGGCUUGAUUUUGGAAUUGACCUUGAGGUCUUUGAUAUCCUUGGCCUUGUUGAUUUCCUCCAUAUUGCCCUUGUGAUCUCCACCCUUGAUUUUGGAAUUGGCGAGGCGCAUUGUUGACGUAGUUGAGCGACUCCACAUCUUGUUGGCAUUGGAGCGUGUAAUGAUUUCCACCGCAAAUUUCACAACAUGGAGAAUCGAUUGCUUUGACUUGUUGUGGUGGACUUGCUUUGAUGUGCUGCAGAAGGAGUUGAUUUUGUUGAGCAAUUUGGGUCACUUGAGCUUGAAGGGCCGUAAUUGCAUCUAACUCCAACACUCCGGGAAUUUUCUUAGCUCCACUAACCGUCCUUUCGCUUGACUUGGCAAACCGAUUUUGAGCAAUUUGAUCCAACAUGAUGAAAGCAUCCGGUAACGAUUGACUCAUAAAAUUUCCCCCGGUGGAUGCAUCUAAGACCGUUCGUGCAUUCUCGUUAAUCCCUUGGUAGAAGAUGUGGAUUUGCCGCCAUUGUUCGACUCCAUGUGUUGGACAUUGCCGCAAAAGAGUUUUAAAUCUCUCCCAUGCCUCGUAUAAUUGCUCGCCUUGCUCUUGGACAAAAUUGUGAAUUUCUCGCCGGAUUCUCUCGUCCUUCUCGGGUGAGCUAUAGACUUUCAUGAAAAGGUUGAGGAGUUGAGGCCACGACGAGAUAGAGUGGGGGGCUUGGGACAUCAACCACUGGCGAGCUCUUCCUUGUAGGGAGUGCUUGAAGAGAAUUAAUUGAAGCGCCUCUUGGGAAACGCCGUUUUGACGGUGAGAAUUACAGGUAUCUAGAAAAUUGACAAUGUGAAGAUGGGGAUCUUCACCUGCCAACCCGCUAAAUAGCCCGUUAUUUUGGAGCAUCGUCAAGAGGCCUUGCUUGAUCUCAAAAUUGUGCGCCUCAAUAGGUGGAUAUUGGAUGCUCGGGCGGAAUCCGUCAUGAGUAGGGAUUAUGUAGUCUUGAAGUGCCCGUGGCCUAGCUGCUGGCUGUAAUGGAAGUUGAAGGGGUGGGUCUUGGACUUGGUUUCCAUUGGCAUUGAUUAAAUUACCCUCUGCGCGUAUGCGUUCUUCGUCUUCCAUUGUAUUGGUUGCGUGUUGACGUCUCCUAGCGGCUCGAAAAGUGCGUUCGAUUUCGGGAUCAAACGGUUCUCUAGCAAGAUUGAGUCUCCUAGGCAUACACCGUACCUAAAACAAAAAUAAAAUAAAACAAAAAUUAAAUGGGUGAAUCGUGAAAAUUGUUCAAAUAUAGAGCUAGAAUAAAAUAAAUAAUUAAAAUAGUCCCCGGCAACGGCGCCAAAAACUUGUUGGUCGAAAACCUACACGCAAGUGCACGUAUCGUACAAGUAAUAUAGUGGACUAAAAGUCCGGAUAUCGAACCCACAGGGAAUAUUUAAUUACUUAAUCCUAGACGCUAAAUUCUACCAAUUAUUAUCAAGCCCACCCUACACAGUCGAGUUUUGAGAGAAUAAACUAAAUUAAACUAAAUUAAAAACAAGCAAAAACAAGAAAGCAAUUAAAAACGAAGAUUUAAUCAAAGUAGACAAGCCUAGGAUUUUAUUCUUCCCCCUAUGUGAUUAUUACUCCCCCAAUUCCCUCAAUUAUGCAAGCAAUUAACCCGGAUUAUUAACCUGAGAUGCUAAAAUAAUCAUAACCCGCUUCCGCGUGUAUUACGAUUCUAAUACUCUAGAUUCAAUUACUAUAUUCCUAUGCAAUUAAUUCUAGAACACAGCAUUAAGCACAAAUCUCAAUAAUGGCUACCUAAGAGAUUAACUAUAUUCCUAUGUUAAUACCACAAAGGCUCUUCUACCACAGUUCUAAUUAUUAACCCGAUCUUCCGAUUCAUGCGAUUAACAAUAACAUAAAAGCACAUAAGUUGAUCAAGUUCAUGCACUUAAUAAAACAAGUAGAAGAAAUAAUCCGGAAUUAAAACUUGCAUAAAAUCAUAGAAUUGGGUUCAUAAAUCCCACAUAGGGUUCCAAAUAAAAUCCUAGAAAUAAGUAGUUUAGCUACUCAUAAUUAAAUCAAAAACGCAAAUAAAAUAAAUCAUAGACGAUAAAUCUUUGCUUGGAGUCUUCGAAUUCUUCGUUAUUGCUUUGUUGCUCUUGAAAUUGCGUAAAAAGAUGGAUCCCUAAUUGUGUGCUUGGCUUGGUCUUAUAUAGGGUGAAAAACUUGGGGAAGAAGGCAGUUUCCUUGUACAAUUAAGAUUCCCUCACUGCGCCAACUCGCCCAUCCGGACGGCCGUGUGAGAUUUAUGGCUAAAAUCCGCACGGCCGCGCGGUCUAUUCUCCAGAAUUCUGCUUUUUUCACUUUUGGCCCAUAUUUUCUCCAAAAUUGCAGUUUUGACCCCAUACUUUUCCAAUUCUUCAAUUUGUACCUAAAAUACAAUAAAUCAACUUUUUAAGCACCAAUUAUCGUUAAAACACACCAAAAGCUCAAAUAAAAAGAUACGAUAAAGUGUAAAAAUAUACACUUAACAGGACCCAAAAAGAGGGAAAAGUAUAAAAUAUGAUGUCACCAGUACUUAUGCUGAAGGAGUUUUAAAGAGAAGUCCAGCUUUAGUAAAUUCUUCUUGUGCUACUUUAAAAGAGUUUCUCCCACCUAUAUCAAAUUUUCGUGAAGCCAUUAUAAGCUUGAUAAACAACACAAUUUUUAAAUAUAUAAAGGUAAAUAAUAAACCUUUGCUUUCUUGCCAAAAAAGAACUGUAUGAAGAAGCUCCAGAUUUUCAUCAACUUUUCUCUUCGACAACUUGAAAGCCAACUGCAAAAAAUCACAUUAAAACAGCUCAUUUUAUCAAAAAGAGGGUGUGUGCUAAAUCUUAUUACACCAUGUAAUAUCACAGACCCUAUACCAAUUCCGACAAAGAAGCUACAGGAAAUCAUAUAUGAUGCAGUUUUAAGUUUUCACAUGCUAUUUAUAAAUCAUGGUAGAAAUUAAUAGAUCAAUCUCAUCAAAUAUACAUGCUAACCGACCAUAGGAAAAACUUGAAGCAUAGGAAAUACAACUAAUUAAAUUAGAGUCAGGUACAACUGACAAAAGGCUAAGAGUAGAGAUUUGUAAGACAACACUUUCUAUCAAAAUAAAAUGAAAAUGUUUCCAAUUUAAUGCUACUAAAUAUCUAUAGAAUUUUAUAUUAAAGAACAAAAUGUUUCUUUGUCCUGUAACAAUUAAAAUAUGUGAGUAAACUCACAGUAAUUGAUAGAACCUUAUCAAUCCUCAUUUUGGUAGAUAUAACCAAUAAUCUCAAUUUUCAUAUAAUUACCAUUCAAUGUACCAUGACUAUAGCACAAGUGUACAGUACCAUGACUUUAGCACAAGUGCACGUAAGUUUCAGAACAACCAUCUUAGUAGAAACAAGAAUUGAUUGAAGGCUUUCCAUUUAUUUUUCCAAAACCAAAGGCAUAGUCAAGUGUGGGUUAAAAAAAACAAAAAGAAAGCAUACCAUUAGGAAUGUCCUUAAGAUGUGUUCUCCGUCCUGGAAAUAUUGAAACAACACAGUUAUUAGUGAAAAAUUAAAUACACUUUUUGUAAUUCAUUAUAUGUAAACACACUAUCAGUUAAUCUGAAAUUUCAAUUAUCACCGACAUUUUAAUCACAAACUAUUAUGUAGAGAGCCAGAAACUGCAUCAAUUAUGUGUUGCAUACAAACAAAAAACCUUGUCAUCUCUCAAGUUUAACUCACACUAAUUAUUCACUCAUCUUCAUAAUGAUCCAUUACCUCUAAUAUCACAUCAAUUAACUAUCAAAUUACAUGCUAGUAGUUUUCCAAAUGCACUAAAAACAUAGUGAAAUUAAUUCAUAGCCAUUGAACAGCAAAACAAAAGAAUCAUUUACUAUCUACACAAACCAUACAAUUUUUUUUACUAUUCAACAUGACAAACAUAUAAUUUAUGUUCUGCAUAUUCUGAUUCAAUACAAAGAAAUAACCCCCUUAUUUCUUCAUGUGAAACUUAAACAAAUAUAUACUUCUUAUUCCCAAUGAAACUUAAAUAAAUAAAACUUUAAGCAACUUACAGAUAUAGAAAAAAUAUGAUCCACAGAUGAGGACUCCACCAUUAAAGUCUAACCCUGAAACUGCAAAGUUGACAAAAUUGGUACUACGAGGGAAGGAAAAUAGAUCUAUAGAGACAGACAUGAAUGAUUGUAGACAAAUACUUUUUAUUUUGUUGAUCACUACAAUCUAAGAUUGGUGAACUAAAAUUAGAGGAUAUUACAAAAUUAAAAAAUCCAACUAUAUUUAGUAUGAACGAAAAAAAUUGAACUAUUUAUACCUGUAUUUAUUCACUACUCCCAAGUCGCUAUCCACAUUAGCGUGAGACGCAACUUCAUCAUCACUGGUCCAAUAUUCACCUAAGGUGUCUUCUUCUUCUUCUUCAUCUUCUUCUUCGUUUUUAUCAUUUUGUGUGUGUGGAAUAAUUAUCUUUUCAGCAAUUUCAAUCUCUAGAGGAGCUUCAUCAAUUUCGGACCAUCCUUUUUAGACUACUAAGAUACCUGUAAUUAUAUCGUAAAAUAUUUAAAUAUUAUAACACAUUUAACUACCUAGGUAAAUUUAUGAAACAUUAACUUCAACAAAAAAAAUUGAGAAAAAGAAAUUAAAAUAACUGAACAUUUUACCUCUCGAUAGGAUACAUCCAUCUAUAAUGAACAGGGCCUCCCACCUUUGCUUCUUGUGCCAAAUGAACUGCUAGAUGGAUCAUAACAUCAAAGAAUGCUGGUGGGAAUAUCAUUUCCAUCUUGCUUAAUAUCACAGGAAUCUUUUUUUCCAAAUCAUCAAGGACUUCAAGGUUCAAUUUCCUAGAACACAAUUGUCUGAAAAAACAUGCCAACUCGGUAAUAACAUCGAGAACAUCUUUAUUAAGGUAACCACGUAGUCCUACUGGAAGCAAACGUUGUAACAAAACAUGGCAAUCGUGACUUUUCAACCCUGUUAUUUUAUCAUCCUUGAUAUUCACACACCUGGAGAUAUUCGCGGCAUACCCAUCUGGAAAUUUUACUGCUUUUAAAAAUUCACAAAAUCUUUUCUUCUCCUUUUGAGAAAGUGUAAAAACCGCACGCGGCUUUAAACACUUGACUUUACCUUCUUUAUUAGCUUUGGCACCUUCUUUAUCAAUAUCCAUCCCAUUAGUGAGUAUAUGCAACUUGACUAGUGGAGGUGGAUGUACAAUCUGAUUCAAGCAAUUACUACAUGGACAACGCAUAACCUUUCUCUCCCCAAUAUGCAUUAGAGCAAAUCUCAUGAAAUUUUUAACUCCAGUAACAAAAUCAUUUGAUGUAAAAUCAUUGAGCUUGAUCCAACUCUUGUCCAUUUACAAUGUUUAAUCCUAAAAAAAAAAGAUGUGCAUUACAUUUAAAGAAAUCGACUGUGUGUAAGGAUCGAUGUAAAUAAUGCAGACUGAAUUUUUCAAAAUAAGGCACAUCACGACUCUUGUUAUAAAAAAAAAAGUAAGAAAAAACAUUGAGAUUACUAAUUGAGUUAACAUAGCAUAUUGAGAUUUGUAUUUUGGUUUCUGGAUUAUUAGAAACCGAAGUAAUGAUUUCGUGUUCUGAUUUUUGGCAGAAGAAAAUUAAAGCCCUAAUUUCCAUCUAUCGAAAUCUGAUAACAACUAAAGGCAAAAAAUAAACAAAUUCUUAAUCCAACUAUUCACCAAACGAAUCCUCGCAAAUUAAUUAUCCGUACCCGUAUGCCUAAAUAGUGUGUGACUCCAAGUUAAUGUCGCUAUUUUCACCGAACCACCUCUGCCAAUGUCGACCAACCGCCGAUGCCUGUGUCUCCAGAUUGUGUUAAUUACUUGUGUCCGUGUUGGGAUGUUAAACGAUGAUGGGUGCUGUUGAAUUCUGGAAUUGGAUGCGAAAUUUGAUUUUCAGAAAAUUGGGGGUAUUGGCCGUGUACGGUGAUGUGCUGUUGUGGUGAAGAACCAAGUUUCUUUUUUUCUUAAAGAAGCAAAGUCUGGUGCAAUCUUCAAUGCGGCCUUUUGUUGGCUAGGUUAUUAACACGAUUUUUCAUUCUUUUUUCUAUAAAACAAAAAAGAAAGUUUUAUUAAAGUAAUUUUUAUUAGGCACUCAAAAUAUCUCCAGAACAAAAGUAUACUAAUUAACUUAAAUAAUGUUACCUAUAUCAAUAAGAAAAUAUCAAUAAAUUAGUAGUUUUUAAUAUUUAAAAAAAACACAAAAUUAUAAUACAUUUUAAUUUAUUAUCAAACUUUGUAUUAUGUUAACUAAAAAUUAGUAUCACAAUUUUUAUUGGUGCUCGGUUCCUAACCGUCGGUUCUCGAUUCAGAAAAUGAGGAACCGGAACCGAACCGGUUUUUUCAGUUUUGGUUCCAGUUCCGGUCAAACCGGUUCUGAUUCGGUGUGUGUGUGUGUGUAUAUAUAUAUAUAAACAAAAAAUAUUUUACGUAUUUAAAAAAACAAUUAAGUUUUUUAAAUAUACUUUCCACUUAAAAAAAAAGAACUAUUUUUAAAACCAGGAACCGAACCGCAAGGAACCGGAUUUUUUCGGUUUGGUUCCGGUUCCUCCAAAAUCGGAACCGGAACCAGAACCGAACCAAACUGUGGCCAGGUCUAGAGUCAGCACGUGACAUGAAUUAGUUGGCUCGAUUAGUAAUAGGAUUAAAAUAUGGUUAUAAUCAUACACCAUUUUAAUGUAUUAGCUUUAUAAUUUUUAUUGGUUAUUCGAUCGAAGUGCAAAUGAGUUGAGCCGGCACGUGACAUGAUGAGUCGGCUCGAGGUUAGCUUGAACUCGAGCACUAGUUCUUCAAGCUCCAGAUUUCUAGUUGUUCGUGAGCUCACAAGCAGACUUCCGAGCUCUUUUUAAUUUCAAUAUUAAUUUUUUUUUAUUAUAAAUAUAAAUAAUAUAUAGCAAUAUGAAGUAUAGGGGGUGGUAAACGAGCUGAGCCGACUCGUGAACUCGAUGAGCCUGCUCGAAAAAUGGCUCGAACUCGAACUCGAGUUUUUCGAACUCGAGUUUUUCGAACUCGAGCCUUUUCUUAGUUGUUCAUGAACUCACGAGCCGACUCACGACUUUUAAUUAAUAUGUCGAUUUAAUUUUAAUAUGCACUACUUUUUUGUUUUCCUCUCCCCAUUACUAUCUUCACUGGCCCCACCCCACCCCACCCCUUCGUUUCUUCUUCUUUGUUCUUUUUUAUUUUUUCCACUGUUCCUUUUUUUCACCUCAUUUCUCUCCAUAUUCAGAGAACAUCAUCUUUCACAUAUUUCUUUUCAUUUUUCAUCCAUCUUCACGUAACAGUACUUCUUCUAUUUACUUUCUCAGUUUUCUUUUCCCCCCUUUCAGUCCAUUGAUCUAGCCAUCCACAACUCCGAUUUGGUCAUAUAACACACAUAUCCGACCACCCACAAAAAUCCCCAGCCCAGAUUCGACCACCGCGGCGAUCCCCCACCCAAAUCCGGCAACCUACCGCCAUUUUAGGCUAAAACCCGGUUCAUUAACCGGUUUCCGGGUCUACCGGUUUUUCCGGUUGAACCGGAUUUUUUGCUCAUUGACCCCAAUUUUUGAUUUUUUUGGUUUAUACAACCUAAAGACAAAUUAGUAAAAAAAAUAUUUUUUUUUGGCGCCUAAGAAGAGAUUUGGCGGUAAAAUAAUAGUUGAUAAGGUAAAUCCACCUCUCCAAGUUUCCCACGAUAGAAUCCAUCGUGAUCUACUCCAGAAAUAUAUAUCUCCCUUUCAUUCCCUUGACCUUUCAUAUUACAUUAAAUCACCGAGAAACAGAUCUAGAAACAGAACAGGGGAACUAAACAGAGGAAUUUUUGCUGGUAAAUUUACUUCAUCUAACGUAGUCCAUCUGUUUAUUUCAUUAUUUAUUCAUUAUUCAUUAGAGUAUUCUAAACUAUUGGAAUAACCCAUAACAUACAAAAUCUUGUUGGAUUAUAAUAGUUGGAAGUUUUUUUUGAAAUUGUCUUUAAUAUGUCCUAUUCUUUCAAAUCCGUAUUAUGUUAUUGUGGUUUUCAUUUUACCAGAUAAUUGGAUUUAUCAUAUGAAUUGGUUUGCAUUUGCAUGUUAUAUUGGUAAAAUGACUCUUGAUUUUUUUUCUAUUCUCUGUGAUGGAGAUGGCGUGUUAUGCAAAAAAAAAAAAAUUAUGUUGCACUUAUUCAUACAAUCAAAAUUAACAGAGAUCAAUUUAUGUACAAAUUAAGCCUUAUAGCUAUAUUAGUAUAUAUUUAAUUAGUAUUGAAUUUUAUGAAAUAUUUUUUAUGUUUCUCUUUUAUUGAUAUCAAUAUCUCAAUUCUUUUCAGAUCUCAAGUCUAAUAAUGAGUACAGAUCAUAAACGUAGAAUGGAGUUAUUAACAGCAAUGGCAGCAACUAACAAUACCGGAAAUUUGAAGCGUAAGAAGGAGUUAGCAAAUGCUUUAACUGCAAAUGGUAUAGCUAAUGAGCCAACUGAGAAUUCGUCUCUUCGAAAUUUAAAUGGUAAUGAUAUUAACAUGUUAUUUUAAUUUAUUUGCAGUUAUAUAUAAAAAGUUAAUUUAAGUUAAUAUUUUGUACUUUGAAUAUUGUAGUUUCAAGUAGAAAUAAGAGAGUGUUUGUACCACCGACUAAAUCAAGUAUUUCAAACUCUUUGACUAGACAAUCGGCAACAAACGCAAAAACAAGCGAUAAAGGUAUUUUUUUUUCUAUGAUUGAGUUUAUUUUUGUAAACUUUGUUUAUUAAAUAGUAUAAAUUUAUAUAUUUCCUUAACGCAUGUAAAUGUAAUCAAUAUUUACAGCUAGAGUGCAUACAGAAGACCUUCACGAACAACAUGUGACUAAUGCUUCGAAUGAGCACACUGGAGUUGUUGUUACAGGUUUUGUUAAGUUGUAUAUUUUUUUUUUUAAAUAUUUUUACUUCUAACUUUUAUUUUAAAAAACUAAUUGUAGAAUCAGUCGUAGAUACGGUGGAUAAAGCAGAUGCGAUAAAAGGUAAUGUUAAACAUACUAUUUUUUCUUUUUCUUUUUUAAUCUGUAUUGGUAUAUUAACUAUUGAUUUAUCUUUUAUUUACUUAUGUUAAUUAUGGAUUAGUGGGUCAAAAACGAGGUCGUGGACUGACUAGGGGGUUAAAUACCCAAAAGUAUAAACGCAAAUCUGGGGGGGAGAAGCCAAAAAUUGUUAUUCCUAAAGGAAUAAACAGACCCGUUGGGGAGCAUAGCUCCAAACAUGCAACCGAGAUUGGGGUCUUAAUUAUGUGUGAAGCUCCAAUGCAAGUUGAGGGUUGGGCGAAAAUUCCGGAUGAAACAAAAGAUCAUCUUCUUAGGAAGUUGACUGUAAGUGAUGUUGUUAGUUAUCUUCAUUUAAAAUUUUCUUUUAGUCCAUAUUUAACAAUAUCAUAGUACCUAAUUCAAAUGUUUAAAAUUUUCUAAAUGUCAAAAAGAAUAAGCUCAGUUAUGAACUGGAGGAGCCUCAUGUUGUUCAAUGCAUUUGGAAGUCUUUUGCCAAACAGUAUUCAUCUUUUCGUUCAAAUGCUCAUAAAUAUUAUUUAAAAUGGAAAGAAGGAGGUGGUGUGACACUAGCCAGACAGAAUAUAUACGAAAAACUCGGUGAUCGUCGUGACGAUUGGCUUUGGUUGUGCGAUUUUUGGGAGACAGCAAAGUUUGAGGUACUAUAUUAUUUUAGACAAUUUUUGUUAUAAUAAAUGGAUAUUACUGAUUAGAAAAAUGAUUCAUUACAUUAUUUUUUAUUAUUUUUCAAUAUUUACAGAAAGUUUCAAAUACUCAGAAAAGCAACAGGAAGAAACUGACAUAUAGUCAUAAAUUGGGAACAAAGUCUCGUGCAACACAUCAACAUGAGAAAGUUAGUCAUAUAUUUUCUUACUAUGAAAUAUUUAGUUGUCGACGUAAAUUAACAUUUGAAUUGUUACAUCACAGGGUUUUGAUGAUAUUGAUAUGUAUGAGGUUGAAUACCAUAAUCCGAAAAAUGGAUGGGCAUAUAAAGAUUUUGAGGCAAAUAGUGUAAGUAUAAUUCAUAUUUAGGUUGUUUCUUAGUUUGUUUGAUCAAUUAUACUUGUGUGUUAAAAGUAAAUAAUUUAUCUAUAAAAUAAUUAACAUAUCGACUCAUAUUUGAAAAUAGGUUCGAAUGAAAGAAUUGAGAGAACAACAAAGAGCUUUGCCAGAAGGCGUUGAUCGAAUGACCACAGAAGAAAUUUGCAUAACAGUUUUAGGGGAAAAUUCAUCAUAUGCUAAAUCGAAAGGUCUUAAUCGAAAAGUAUCUGGAGUUGAUGCUAUUUCAUCUUUUGAAGCUUCUAGCAGUCGAGCACGAUUAGAAGAAGAGUUGGCGAACACACAAUCUGAGUUGGCAAGUACGAAAGCUGAGAUGGCUAUUCAGAAAACUACUGUAGAAGCGGUAGUAAAAUUCAUGGAGCAGAUGACUGGCAAAAGCUUUGCUGAAAUUAUAAACGUACCUAAUUGGUGAGUUCAAAACUAGAAUAAAUCCCGGUAUGAUUUUAUUAAUAACAUAAUUAUUUAUAGUUAAAUUUUUUUGCACUUAUUCAAGCUAUUCUUAAUUUUAUCAUGCAGAGUUAAUUAAGAAGAAAUGAAGAAGUAACUUGAUUGAGGUGUAUUUUGCUUUAUGAGACGUAUUAUUGCCAUGGGCAAAUUAUGAUUUAAGUUUUUAAAUUUAGUUGAUGUUUAUAUUUUGGGCAUAUUUCAUAGGGAUCUUUGUCUUAAUUUGGAUAUGAAUUAUGGUAAUUUUGCUUAACACUAUGAGUUUUUAGUUUUUUUUAUGAUAUGGUUAUCUGCUUUCUUUAGUGUCGUAUUAUCUUUAAAAAAUGAAAAAAGCUUCUUGUUUUGCGAAGGAAGUUUGCAUUCCGCCGGAGAAAAGAGAUUAGAAAACAAAGAGUUUUGCUUAUUAAUUUAUUUCUCGUAUUAUUUCAAUUUUUUUUUCCUAUUUUACACUAUGAGUACACAAGAAUAUGAGUAGAAAUAUAUCAGAAUUAUGAGAGAGAGCGAACUAUGAAAGAGAGGGAAGAAACGAAAGAAAAGGGAAGGAAAAACAGGGUAGGUGGCAACGAAGAAUGAGACAUAAUCUCGGUGGAACUCUUCUGCCUAAAAUAGAAUAGCAAUGGUUGCUAUUGCUGCUGUAUUGCAGAAGACAUGUUUUCCCACAGUGUCCUUGAGGUUCAAGGUUCAGUAAAAAAAAUUCUCAAUCGAUUAUACUAUAGUAUAUAUUUGAAUUUGGAUUUACCAUUUGAUUUAUUUUAUUCAUGCAGAAGGAAGUCGAAGAAACAUUAUCUCAAGCUUUUGGAGAAAAGUCAAUUUUGUUUUCUGCUCGAACAAUUUUAAAGUUCAAUGGCGAAUCUGACCAACUUAUGGAUUUUAUUAGAAUUGGCACUACGUGAUCGAACAUAUGUGUUAGAAUUUAUUCAUAUUGUAUAGGUUUUAUUAUGUAGACGUAUUAUUGUAUAAUACAAGUAUUUUGUGUAAAAGUUAGUUCCAUAACCAAUCAUUAGUUCAAUGUAGUUACAUUCUGUCAUUUUUUUAAAUAAAUUUAAUUAGCUGAAUUUAUAUGCUUACAAGUUAAUGAUUUUAAGACACUUUAGUUUUGUGUAAAAGACAUGUAGUAACUAUAUAUACAAUAUUUUUGUUAUUAAAUUGGUCACUGUUAAUAUUUAUUUAUAUCGACCAAAUGUAAUUCUCACUAAAUACUCCAACUUUGGACGCUAUACUAGUACCCGAGUCUUGUUAAAUUACAGUGACCAUCGAUAGUUACCAAAUAUCAGUUGGUCGUAAAAAAAUAAACAACUUAACAUUAGCAACUACAUUAUUUUUGGUGGCUACAUUCUUGCUAUGAAAAUAUCGUUAGCAACCAAAUUAAUUGGUCGUUAAUAGUUAUUUAAAAAUUUAUAGCGACCAUUGUUUGUUUAGUUACUAAAUUGGUCACUAUUAACAUUACUUACAACGACCGUUUUAAAACAAGUCGCUAAAGACUCUACUCAUGGUCGCUCAAGGAUCGACAACUAAUAGUGACCAUUUAUAGCUACCAAAUCUUGUUUGGUCGCAAAGAAAUUGAAGUAACUUCAAUUUUGCAACCAUAUUGUUAUUGGUGGCUAUAUAUACAUAUUUUGCGACUAUUUGUCUAUCGUCGCUAAAAAUUUGGUCGUUAAAGCUAGUUUUUCUUGUAGUGUCUAACUACAUUUCAGGGGGUGAGUGUAAUUAUCGAUACCACAUGGACCUUAAAAUUAUUUAAACAUACCUCAAGGGUGUGUGUAAUUUACCCAAAAACUAUUUACUCGCGACUUUUGAUGAAUUGUGGUAUUCAUGUCAUUCUAACACUAUACUCUUAAAACAAAGAUUCGAGGACAAAUUAUGGGAGAGCAUUAAAUCAAACUCUUGCGAAGAACUAGCCUACAGUUAACGAUACAGUGCAUUGGGUAAAUUUCAAUGCAAUAGCUUUUGAAUCGUACGAGAGAGGUAAACAACACUAAACAUAUAAGUUAUUUGCAACAACUUAAAGUCAAUCUUUUGAGCAAAUUAAACAUAAUUACUUAAUUAUUGUCCGAGCCCUCUCAUAUAUGUAUUAGUGGAGUCAGGAUUUGAAUUAAGUCCAGCGGAACCGAAUGUGUUAAAAAUAAUUGAGGGGAUCGUCAAUGCUAUUGUAUACGAUUUUUUAAUAUAUUUUUAUAUUAAUUUAUAGAUAUUUGAGAAAUGUUGGGGGCCGUAGCCCCCCUAAUCCUAUACUGGCUCAGCCACUGAAUUCAUAUAAGUUAAAUUGACUUUAUCGGCUUGAGCCUCAACACAUGUACAAAACACAGGGACCAAAGCGCACAUGCAGACACAAACUUAUACACUAUUUAAUUUGUACGUGCAAACCAUAUUUCAUUUAAUUUUUGUUAUGAUCUCUAUCAAAACCCUUAGCUGUACCGUCCAAGAAAUGGUUAUAUCGUCACGUAGUCUCUAUUAUAAGAAAUGUGUAAUCAAUUUUUGAAGUAUAUAUAUUUGACAAAUUAAAAUGUAUAUGUUCAUUGUAAGGUAUGUAUUAGCUUGCAAGUACAUAUUUAAUAGUAAUUUAUAAGGUUAAUAUAACUCUUCUUCUUAAAACUUUGAAGAAUAUAUAUAUAUAUAUAUAUUACAUACCCGUAACCAGGGGCAUUCCCAUACUUGUGGCUGGGGUGGCCCCCGCCCCCCCCAGAAUUUUUUUUUAAGCUUCUUUUUUUUUUUUUGGUUAUUUAUGUAUUUGUUAAUGCAUUUUCGUCCUCUCAAACUUUUAAUUUUGUACACUUAGUCCAAAAAAAAAAAGAAAAACUGAUCUCUUAAACUACCCCUAUAUUUCAGCCCCCCAAGAAAUCUCCCUGGGUCCGCUCCUGCCCCUAGCCACCAAAUAAACUAGGGAUAAAUCCNNNNNNNNNNNNNNNNNNNNNNNNNNNNNNNNNNNNNNNNNNNNNNNNNNNNNNNNNNNNNNNNNNNNNNNNNNNNNNNNNNNNNNNNNNNNNNNNNNNNAUUUUAAUUUUUUUAUGUGUAAAAAAAAUAAUUUUUUUGAUUUUCAAUCAAUAUGUUUACUGUACUCAAAAUAACUACAUGUAACUGUAGUAACUAUAGUAAUGCGUAGUUAUGUUCUUUUUCUUUUCCCCAUAUUUCUAGUCGAUCAAUUAUAUACACACACGAAUAUUGGCUUAUACAAAAGAAAUUCAUAAAUCCCAACAACAAAAAUUUACAAAUUUCAAUAUUUAUAUUAUAAAUCACCUCAGAACCAAUAAAAUACAAAUAUAUGCAUAUGUAACUGCAUGUUACUAUAGUAAUGUAUAGUAAUGUACAGUAAUGUAUACAGUCUGUUGAACAACGCAGAUGUAACUUCAAACAAAAAUUUGAACACCUUCAAGGAAAGGAUCAAUGGUCUUCAUUAAGCAGCAAUUGAAAAAUCAAAACAAAAAAAAUAUUUUAGUGCAAAUGAACAAAAAAUAAAGAAACAUCCUCAAAAAACAACAAACAGUAAGAGAUCGAGAGAAAUAAAUCUGAAAAUAUAAAAAUUAAAAUUUAAAAAUAAAAUAAAAUAUAAAAAUAUAGAAAUAAAUCUGAAAAUAUAAAAAUGAAUGAAAUUGACAUCAAAAUAUAGAUCCCGACAAGAGGAAUCCAACGGUGAGUAGCCCGUCAAAUUCCGACUGACGAAAACCAAAUUUCACUUCUGGUAAGACCACCAUCGUCUAAAUACGCCGACUAAAAAAAAUUGCAGAAACAGAUCUAGCACUCAAAACUGAAUGAAAUACCCACCAAAAGAAAGAGCUCGACGAGAGAAAUCCAACGAUAGUUGAACCAUCGAAUUCCGACCACCGGAGAGAGAGUUACGACCAUGAGAAUCAAAAUCGCCGGUUAGAGACCUUGGGGGGCGGGAUUUGGAUCUGAGAAUUGAGAGAGGAAGAUAAAGACCGAUAUGGGUUGGGUUAGGGUUUAAAACUGAUUUAAAAAGGUAUUCUGGGUACUUCAGGGUGGGCUAGGGGAGUAUGUUAAAUUAUUAUCUAAAUGAAAGGGUCUCUAAAAUAAUCCAUAUAUAUAUAUAUAUAUAUAUAUAUAUGCCACACUAGCAAAUUAAAGCUUUACCAAAAUUAGCAAAAGAUUAAAAUCAAAACAAAAGGAUAAUCUUAUUUGGGGUUUUUGUGCAUAAGUUUCUAACCAAUUAUCUUUAUUAUUCUAGGUUUAGGGGUUAUAUUUAUUUCACCAAUAUGCCAAUCGCUUUAAUAUUUAUUAUAAAUAAAGGAAAAAUUUAUGUAUAUAACAAAAUUACCCCCAACCCUUUACACACAAUUCUUAAUUGUAACCCCAAUUUAAUCAAUUUUGACCACAAAAAUCCAAUUUUCAUUUUCUAUUUUCAAAAACUUUUUAUGUUCAAAAAAUAAAUUUUGCCGCCGGAUUCCGGCGUUGACUUUUUUUGUUGUUUUUCUUUUGGUCUGUUUUUUCCGCCGCUGGAUCCCGACGUUGGCUUUUAUUCUUUUUGUUUGAUAUGUUGACAAGUCAACGUAAUUAUAUUACUGUCGUUGACAGUAAACUAACUGUAAACACAAUAAUAUUACUGUCAACCACAUUAAUAUUAUUAAUUUUUUGGGUUUUUUUGUUUUGUUCGAGUUAUUCACGGAGUAACGUAAUAAUAUUAUUGUAAUAUUACUAUGGUUGACGGUAAUAUUACUGUUGUUAUAAUAAUAUUACUGUCAACUACAUCAAUAUUAUUAUUUUUUUGGGUUUUUUUGUUUUGUUUGAGUUAUUCACGGAGUAACGUAGUAAUAUUACUGUCUAUUAUUGUGGUUGACGGUAAUAUUAUUGUUGUUAUAGUAAUAUUAUUGUCACUCACCGUAAUAUUAAUUGUUUUGGCUUUUUAUUAUGUUUACAUUUGUUGAACGAUCAACUUAUUACUAUUACUCUAUUACACAAUAAUAAUGAGUUUUGUUGUGUUAAUAUUACUGUGCUAGAUAUUAAUAUAGCAAUAUUACUGUGUUAAACUGUAGUAUAGUUAAUUUUAUUAUGUUUAACAGUAAUAUAGUUAGUAUUACUGUCAAUCACAGCUAGCAAUAUUGUUGCAUAAACGUGGAAAAAAGAUGUUUAAGAAGAAAAAAAAGUCAACGCCGGAGACCGGCGUUGACCGCGGUCAACAACGGAAACCGGCGGAAAAAUCAGGAAGAGGGGGAAAAAAAUCAACACCGGAGAUCGGCGGUCAACGGCGCUGACGGACGAAAUUGUCCAUAAAAAUGUGUUUUGGGUCAAAAUUCAAUAAUUUAUGAAAUUUGGGGUCAAAUUGAGGUUAGAAUUAAAUUAAAUGAUGAAAUUGGAGGAUAUUAAAGUAUGAGGGGUUAUUUUAGUCUUUUACAAAUCUAUGGACCAUGUGUGAUUUUUUUUUUAAAAGCGUAUAUUGUCUGGAUCUCUUUAUGAGUAACUGAGUAAGUACACAUUGAUGGGCUUAUUUGUAAAAUACCCAUCUUAUUUUGCAUAUAUUAAUUGUAAAACUUGAUGAAUAAAUGGGUAAAUUCCACUUUCCCCCUUUAUUUUGGUUUGAUAUCACUUUACCGCCUUCUACUCUCGAUUGCAUCGAUUUGCCCCUACGCACUUGAAAAAUUGUCUCAAUGUGGCCCUCGCUGUUAGUUGUUAGACAUUUGACUUUAACACCGUUUGAUCUAUUCUUUGAAAUUACAAAAACGGCAUCUCUCCCAAUUUAAAUAAUUAUUAAAAAAAAUAAUAAUAAUAAUAAAAUAAUAAAAAAAAUCAAGGCAACGAGAACAUAGUCCACGACGCCACUCACAUUUUAUUUUUAAUGUAUAUGUGCCCCCUCGCGAUGAAAUUCUAGCUUCAAAACUGAUCCUCAAAUUUUACGUUCGAUUUACUCCCCACUUUUCUUUUGAGAAAAAAUCCAUUUUAAGGCUAAUUUUCUUUUCCACUUUUUCCUCGAGAAUACUUUACCUAAUAUUUAUAUUGCCACCAAACAUGAAAAUCAAUCACCUAAUAUUUUCCCCUUUUUACUUACUAUUUUCCUGUGUCCAACUCCGUAGAAGGAAAAUGAAAGAACAAGAAUAUCUACGAUGUGGAUGUUCAUGUAAUUACACAUAAUACUUUUUUGUCAUAAUUCGGCAUUACUUGGGAGGUUGUAUAAAGAGGAUGGGUGUUAAGUGUAUAUUUAUACACUUAAUUGUACCUUUUAAUUGGAGCUUUUGGUGUGUUUUAAUGAUAAUUGGUGCUUAAAAUGGUUGUUAUUUGUAUUUUAGGUGCAAAUUGAAGACUUGGCAACUUUUGGGGUGAAAACUGCAAAUUCGGAGAAAAAGUGGGCCAAAAGUGAAAAAACCAGAAUUCUGGAGAAUUAGGACCGGACGGCCGUCCGAAUUUUAAAGCUUAAUCUCACACGGCCGUCCGGAUGGGCGUCGGGGCGCAGUGAAGGAAGUUUAAUUACACAAGGAAACCCGCCCUAUUAUAUUUUUGCACCAUAUUUAAAGGCCAUGAGCACACAAUUAGAUUUAUCUUGGAUCUUUUACCUUUUAUCUUUAUUUUUAGUUUUUAUUCUUUCAUCUUUCUACACGCGGGCAAUUUACAAGAACGAAGACGAAGACUUGACGAAUCUUCAUCCUAGUUUUCCUUUUAUUUUUAUUUCUCGACUUUUAUGAAUUUUCAUAUUUUUAUUAUGCUUUUCGUUACGAACAUGAGUAGCUAAGUUUUAUUCUAGGAUUUUAUUGGAACCCUAUGUGGUAACUCGAACCUAUUUUUCUACUUUUAUGCAAGUUUAAUUCUUCGAUUAUUUCUUCUAUCUUGAUCGUAUUUAGUGCAUGAGCGUAGCUAACUUAUGUUGCUAUUAGUUAUUGUUAGAAUUGAUUGACAGAUCGUUUUAAUAAUUAGAACAGGGAUAGAAGAGCCUUCGAGUAGUUUUUCACCGAAUGCGUGUGUUGAUUGCAUGUAUUAUCGUAGACAUACAGAUAAUACCUUAGGUAGCCGUUGUCGAGACUUGUUAUUUAAUGCUUUAUUUAUACUAGGUUUGCAUAGACAUAUAGUGAAUCUUUUAUGAAUAAUAGGCUUAUAGCACAACGACAGCUGGUUAUGAGUAAUUUCGUGUCUUGGGUUAAUAAUCGGGAAUCGUAACUUGCAUGAUAGAAGAUUAAUUGGGUGAAGAAUUAUCGCAUAUGGGGAAGAUAAAAUCCUAGAUCCGUUUUAUCUUGAUAUUCUCUCGUGUUUAAUUGCUUUCUUAAUUAGUUUAAUUUAUUUAGUUAAUUAAUUUGACAAACUUGCGUAGGCUGGAUAAAAAUCGUAAUUGUUAAAAUUUGGUACUUAGGAUUAAAUAAUUUGCGUAUUCCCUGUGGGAUCGACAUCCGACUCUCACGAGUCUACUUUACUACUUGUUUGCGAUACGUGCACUUGCGUGUGGGUAUUUAGCACCCAACAAUGGGACAAUUGCAUUUCUGCAAACAACCUAUUAAAGCAAACUACAAUCAUAGUAACAUACAUCCAUCCGCUAAUAAUCGUAUAAGAGGACCGAACAGCACCGUACCUGGGGGAGCACGAUAGCUUAGAAACACGACCAUGGCGACUUUAAAAUAAGAAGAUAGGACAAAAUACGUGGCAAUCCCAAACAGUGCUAUUAUUACUCAGACGAGAUACAAAUACCCGACACAGCAUAAUUACAGAUCAGAUUAGAAAACACGAUUUCACUUUAUAUAUGUAUAUAUUUAUAUAUAUAUAUAUAUAUAUAUAUAUAUAUAUAUAUAUAUGAAGAAACUCGCAAGCCAACCGUAUAGGUGCACUGGGUAAACGUAUACUCUCGUAUAAUAGCUUGUAACCUAACGACCGUUGGCAAGAGGACUUGAACUUGGGUCAGUUGACACAUAACCACUUUCUCCAACCGCUAGAUCAUCCCUUGCGGGACAAGAAUGUAAUUCAUUUGUUGGUUGAAUAGUGGAUUAGGAUUGAAUAAAAAUAAUUUCUAAAGUCAAUGCUAAUUACAUAGCCUAGAGAGAGGAGUGAUUCAACUCCCAGCUUGUGAAGAAUUAAUCUCAUAAUUAGUUGGCAUUCACAUACUUUAUAUCCAAUUUGCUUAGGGUUAAUAGCAUUUUGCCACCUGUAUUUUGCCCGUUUUUGCGCUUUGCCACCUUAAUUAAAAAAAGUUGUACGGGCACACCCAAACUCGUUUUUUUGACGCACAUAACCACCUAAGGGGAAUAUUCUAGCGAAUAUUCUCAUUUUUCCGGCACACGUGCGAUGCACAUGCUUAAUGUGAGGAUUUUAAUUAGUCUUUUAAUCUGAAGAUAUCAUGUGGGGUUAAAAUUGAAAGUUCCAAAGGAUGAAAUUGAAAGAUUGAAAGUUCCAAGGGGUGAAAUUGAAAUAUAUUAAACUCUCAUUUCUUCUUGUUCUUUGAACUAACAACUUUUGAAAAAAUCCAAGAAAAAAAAAUAAGGGGUUAUCAUCUCUCGUCAAUUUAAUCAAAGAUCUCAAUUUGGAACUUUCCUUGAUGUUCCUCGUGAUCGUCAUCAACAUAUUCAGUCCAAUUGUUUCUCUUAGUCUUGUUCGUUAGGUCUUGGAUUGGAGAAUUGUUGGAGGUACGUUCAUCGGGGAGAUGGAAGUGGUUUUGAUUAGAGAAUUAGCGAGACAUGUUCAAAAGUCUGGACGAAUUUGCGUACGGCCAUGGAUGAUUGGGCAAAAAUCUUCCUCACAAAUUCCUCCUAGUUGCACACCACGCGACUCCGUCUGCUCUUCUUCUACUGCAUCCCAAUUUUGUUUUCAUAGUUUAAUUUUCUCACACAGACAUAUAUCUACAGUGCAAUUGAUUUCAACAUUUACUGUAAACCACAAAAUCAUAUUGAGAAUUAGAAAGAAAGAGAGAGAAUUGCCUGCAUAGUGGAGCAUUCGAAGUAUUGAAAAGGGUUUCUUUGAAAAAUAUUAAUGGGGAGAAACUCCUAUAGAAGAAGAAGACCCACUCCCAUGGAAGAAGCAGACACACAACUUUAUUUCAAUUAAUUUAGAAUUUGGGCAAGUUUCAUACAAAGUUCAAUUGAGUCCUUACAAUUUUCAGUUUUACCCCACAUGAUAUCUUCAGAUUAAAAGACUAAAAAACCCAUGUAUUUAGUCAUGUGCAUCGCGCAUGUGACGGAAUCUUUCAAGAUUCGCCGGAAUAUUCCCCCUAGGUGGUUAUGUGCGUCAAAAAAACAAGUUUGGGUGUGCCCGUGCAACUUUUUUUAGUUAAGGUGGCAAAGUACAAAAACGGGCAAAGUACAGGUGGCAAAAUGCUAUUAACCCAUUUGCUUAACAUUGUUUGACAAAAGAAUAAUAAUAAUUAAAAAACAAAAUUUUAACUAGUAUAAAUAAAAUUUUGAUCCCCAACAAAACACAUUCAUCUUGAACCCGAAAAACCAUGAGAGGAGUAGAAAUGGAGUUCAUGCAUUUCAGCCACAAUCACGGCCUGGUUUACCACCAGGCUAUUCAAGGAUAUGAAUUUCAUUGCUCCGGCUGCAAAUCUGCCGGCUCAGGCGAUGUCUACGUUUGCUGGCAGUGCAAUUACUUCCUCCACGAACACUGUUUUCGUUCCGAACGGUCUCUUAAGCACCCUUAUCACCCCCUUCAUCCUCUUACUUUGAUGCCUUCUCCUACUUACCCCUCCGGUUCUUUUUCCUGCAAUUCGUGCAGUCUUGAUGGAGAUGGAUUCUCCUACAGUUGUUCCGAAUGUGAAUUUGAUAUUCAUGUUCAUUGUGCCCUUAAUAUUACUAUUCCUAAUCCUAAUCCAAAUUUAUUACCUUCCGUUGUUCCUAAUCCUUAUCCUGCGCAG
rnacentral:lncRNA from 1 species